GAUGAACGCUAGCGGCAGGCUUAAUACAUGCAAGUCGAACGGUAACAGGUCUUCGGACGCUGACGAGUGGCGCACGGGUGAGGAACACGUACACAAUCUACCUUAUACUGGAGAAUAGCCCCGGGAAACUGGGAUUAAUACUCCAUAGUCUUUAAUGAUCACAUGAGAAAUAAAGUAAAGCUUCGGCGGUAUAAGAUGAGUGUGCGUCCCAUUAGAUUGUUGGUGAGGUAACGGCUCACCAAGUCGACGAUGGGUAGCUGGCGUGAGAGCGCGACCAGCCACACUGGCACUGAGACACGGGCCAGACUCCUACGGGAAGCAGCAGUAGGGAAUAUUGGUCAAUGGACGAAAGUCUGAACCAGCCAUGCCGCGUGGAGGAUGACUGCCCUCUGGGUUGUAAACUCCUUUUAUAUGGGAAGAAACCUCUGGAUUCACUCCAGAGCUGACGGUAUCAUAUGAAUAAGCACCGGCUAACUCCGU
rnacentral:rRNA from 1 species